AUUGAACGCUGGCGGCAGGCUUAACACAUGCAAGUCGAGCGGGGACUUCGGUCCUAGCGGCGAACGGGUGAGGAAUGCUUGGGAAUCUGCCCAGUAGCGGGGGAUAACGUUUCGAAAGGAACGCUAAUACCGCAUACGCCCUACGGGGGAAAGGGGGAGAUCUUCGGACCUCUCACUAUUGGAUGAGCCCAAGUCGGAUUAGCUAGUUGGUGGGGUAAAGGCCUACCAAGGCGACGAUCCGUAGCUGGUCUGAGAGGAUGAUCAGCCACACUGGAACUGAGACACGGUCCAGACUCCUACGGGAGGCAGCAGUGGGGAAUAUUGGACAAUGGGCGAAAGCCUGAUCCAGCCAUGCCGCGUGUGUGAAGAAGGUCUUCGGGUUGUAAAGCACUUUAAGCGAGGAGGAAUGGCUCUUGGUUAAUAACCUUGAGCAGUGACGUUACUCGCAGAAUAAGCACCGGCUAACUCUGUGCCAGCCGCCGCGGUAAAAC
rnacentral:rRNA from 1 species